rnacentral:lncRNA from 1 species
GUCGUUACUAAUAAAAUGAAUUGUUGUCUCAUUUUUUUUUUCCUAUAUCGAAAGAAUAUUGGUUGUGUCUAUUUUAAAGAAAAACAGCUGAUUUUAGAAAACAUGUUUCAUCAAUAUACGGUACGUUAAAAUCCACAGAUAAUGAGGACAAUACUUGUGGAGGUUCAAAUGGAUAUAGGAGGUGUGGAGCCUGACAGAUUGUAUAUGUACUUGCAUGUCUAUUGUUAAUACUGAAUGGUGACCUUUACAUGUCAUUG